rnacentral:rRNA from 1 species
UACGUAGGGUGCAAGCGUUGUCCGGAAUUAUUGGGCGUAAAGAGCGUGUAGGCGGCCAUACAGGUCAGCUGUGAAAACUCGAGGCUCAACCUCGAGACGUCGGUUGAAACCGUAUGGCUAGAGUCCGGAAGAGGAGAGUGGAAUUCCCGGUGUAGCGGUGAAAUGCGCAGAUAUCGGGAAGAACACCCGUGGCGAAGGCGGCUCUCUGGGACGGUACUGACGCUGAGACGCGAAAGCGUGGGGAGCGAACAGG